CUUGAGUGAGCCCAGCCAGAGCGGUUGUUCGCGGUCCUGGCCGUAGGUGGCGAGGAUGGCCUGGGCCUC
rnacentral:antisense_RNA from 1 species